rnacentral:rRNA from 1 species
GUGGGGAAUAUUGGGCAAUGGGCGAAAGCCUGACCCAGCAACGCCGCGUGAAGGAAGAAGGUCUUCGGAUCGUAAACUUCUAUCCUUGGUGAAGAUAAUGACGGUAGCCGAGAAGGAAGCCCCGGCUAACUACGUGCCAGCAGCCGCGGUAAUACGUAGGGGGCAAGCGUUGUCCGGAAUGAUUGGGCGUAAAGGGCGCGUAGGAGGCCUGGUAAGUCUGGAGUGAAAGUCCUGCUUUUAAGGUGGGAAUUGCGUUGGAUACUGUCGGGCUUGAGUGCAGGAGGGGUAAGUGGAAUUCCCGGUGUAGCGGUGAAAUGCGUAGAGAUCGGGAGGAACACCAGUGGCGAAGGCGACUUACUGGACUGUAACUGACGCUGAGGCGCGAAAGUGUGGGGAGCAAACAGGAUUAGAAACCCGGGUAGUCC